AGUGAACGCUGGCGGCGUGCCUAAUACAUGCAAGUCGAACGGAAAUGUUUGGUGUUUGCUCUUUACAAUUGAGUGGCGCACGGGUGAGUAAUAUAUAGCUAACCUGCCCCUUGCUGGAGGAUAACUAUUGGAAUGACUGCUAAUACUCCAUACUCCUUUUUACCAUAUGAUAGUUAUUGAAAAAAUUUCAGUGCUGCACUAUACUAUGGACCAGCAGCUAGUCAGCGGGGUGACGAGGUACCGGCGCUCUAACGCGACAAUGGUCUGACAAGAUGAUCGGUCGCUUUGGAACUGAGACACUGACCCAACUCCUACAGGACGCCGGGAGGCGGAAUAUUGGAAUCUGGGGGAAAGCCUGACACUCCGACCCCGCGUGGACGAUGACACUUUUAAGAUCUUCAGAUCCUUUUGUUCUGUAAUAAUAAUGAAAGUUCCUUACGAAUGAACACCCGACAACUCCAUGCCAACUACCCCGAAAAUACCGAGGGUGCACGCGUUACUCGGAAUCACUGUACGUAAAGGACGCGUAGGCUGAUUAUCUAGUCUCUUGUGAGAUCUCACGGCUCAACCGUUAAACUGCUUGUGAAACUGAUUGUCUUAACUAUUGGAGAGGCUGAUGGAAUUCUUGGUGUAGUGGUAAAAUCGAUAGAUAUCAUCAAUAUUACCUGUUGCGAAGGCGAUAUGCUGGAACUUACCUCAGGCUCAUGCGUGACACCGUGGGGAGCAAACGAGACUAGAUAUCCUGAUAGUGCAGAGGCGACUUCCUUAGUGGAUCUCAAGCUUCUAGGUCCCGUUCACCUCUAGGGGUGGCCCGGUUCCCUGCUUUUGAUCUCUUGGGGGGGGCUGAUUACAAGCUUUGGUUCAUCAUGUUAUAAAAAAUUUCCAGCUGGCGUAAUCAUGGUCAAGCCUGUUUCCAAUG
rnacentral:rRNA from 1 species